rnacentral:rRNA from 1 species
GCAAGUUCAUAAGAGCAAACGGUGAAUGCCUUGGCAUCUGGAGCCGAAGAAGGACGUCGUAAUCUGCGAUAAGCCUCGGGGAGCUGAUAAACGAGCUGUGAUCCGAGGAUUUCCGAAUGGGGAAACCCCGCCAGGCCCCUUGUGGUGACCUGGUGACUCCCGCCUGAAUAUAUAGGGCGGGUAGAGGGAACGUGGGGAAGUGAAACAUCUCAGUACCCACAGGAAGAGAAAACAACAGUGAUUCCGUCAGUAGUGGCGAGCGAACGCGGAAGAGGCUAAACCGAGUCAUGUGUGAUACCCGGCAGGGGUUGCAUGGCCGGGGUUGUGGGACUUUUCGUUCCGGUCUGCCGGCCGGUGAACGUUACAGCGCAUCAUAGACGAACAGGUUUGAACGCCUGGCCAGAGCGGGUGCGAGCCCCGUAGUCGAAAUGGUGUUAUGGCGUGAAGAGUAUCCCAAGUAGCACGGGGCCCGAGAAAUCCCGUGUGAAUCUGUCAGGACCACCUGAUAAGCCUAAAUACUCCCAGAUGACCGAUAGCGGACAAGUACCGUGAGGGAAAGGUGAAAAGUACCCCGGGAGGGGAGUGAAAUAGUACCUGAAACCGUUUGCUUACAAACCGUCGGAGCCUCCUUGUAGGGGUGACGGCGUGCCUUUUGAAGAAUGAGCCUGCGAGUUAGUGCUCUGUGGCGAGGUUAACCCGUGUGGGGCAGCCGUAGCGAAAGCGAGUCCGAAUAGGGCGAUUCAGUCGCAGGGUCUAGACCCGAAGCGAAGUGAUCUAUCCAUGGCCAGGUUGAAGCGACGGUAAGACGUCGUGGAGGACCGAACCCACUUCAGUUGAAAAUGGAGGGGAUGAGCUGUGGAUAGGGGUGAAAGGCCAAUCAAACUUCGUGAUAGCUGGUUCUCUCCGAAAUGCAUUUAGGUGCAGCGUUGCGUGUUUCUUGCCGGAGGUAGAGCUACUGGAUGGCCGAUGGGGCCCAAAAGCUUACUGACGUCAGCCAAACUCCGAAUGCCGGUAAGUGAGAGCGCAGCAGUGAGACUGUGGGGGAUAAGCUUCAUAGUCGAGAGGGAAACAACCCAGACCACCAACUAAGGUCCCUAAGCGCGUGCUAAGUGGGAAAGGAUGUGGAGUUGCACAGACAACCAGGAGGUUGGCUUAGAAGCAGCCACCCUUGAAAGAGUGCGUAAUAGCUCACUGGUCAAGUGAUUCCGCGCCGACAAUGUAACGGGGCUCAAGCACGCCACCGAAGUUGUGGCAUUGACAUUAGUGGUAGGCCUUCGUGGUCCAGCCGUGUUGAUGGGUAGGAGAGCGUCGUGUGGCGAGUGAAGCGGCGGUGUGAACCAGCCGUGGAUGCCACACGAGUGAGAAUGCAGGCAUGAGUAGCGAAAGACGGGUGAGAAACCCGUCCUCCGGAAGACCAAGGGUUCCAGGGUCAAGCUAAUCUUCCCUGGGUAAGUCGGGACCUAAGGCGAGGCCGACAGGCGUAGUCGAUGGACAACGGGUUGAUAUUCCCGUACCGGCGAAGAACCGCCCAAGACAAUCCAGUAGUGCUAAGUAUCUGAAUCCCUUUGAUGGAUCCCUUCGGGGUGAAGCGUUGGGCCUAGCGUACGAUCCNNNNNNNNNNNNNNNNNNNNNNNNNNNNNNNNNNNNNNNNNNNNNNNNNNNNNNNNNNNNNNNNNNNNNNNNNNNNNNNNNNNNNNNNNNNNNNGAUCCCGUGCUGGUGCGUUUAGCGUAUUAACAGGUGUGACGCAGGAAGGUAGCCGAGCCGGGCGAUGGUUGUCCCGGUCUAAGGAUGUAGGGCGAACGAUAGGCAAAUCCGUCGUUCAUAUAGCCUGAGAUCUGAUGGGUAGACGCAAGUCGAAAUCGGUGAUCCUAUGCUGCCAAGAAAAGCAUCGACGCGAGGUUCUAGCUGCCCGUACCCCAAACCGACUCAGGUGGUCAGGUAGAGAAUACUAAGGAGAUCGAGAGAAUCGUGGUUAAGGAACUCGGCAAAAUGCCCCCGUAACUUCGGGAGAAGGGGGGCCUGAGGCGUGAACGGACUUGCUCCGGGAGCGUUCGAUGGCCGCAGAGACCAGUGGGAAGCGACUGUUUACUAAAAACACAGGUCCGUGCUAAGUCGCAAGACGAUGUAUACGGACUGACGCCUGCCCGGUGCUGGAAGGUUAAGAGGAACGGUUAGCCGCAAGGCGAAGCUGAGAAUUUAAGCCCCAGUAAACGGCGGUGGUAACUAUAACCAUCCUAAGGUAGCGAAAUUCCUUGUCGGGUAAGUUCCGACCUGCACGAAUGGCGUAACGACUUCCCAGCUGUCUCAACCGCGAACUCGGCGAAAUUGCAUUACGAGUAAAGAUGCUCGUUACGCGCAGCAGGACGGAAAGACCCCGUGACCUUUACUAUAGUUUGGUAUUGGUGUUCGGUGUGGCUUGUGUAGGAUAGGUGGGAGACGUUGAAGCGGGCACGCUAGUGUUCGUGGAGUCAUUGUUGAAAUACCACUCUGGUCACUCUGGAUAUCUAACUUCGGACCCUAAUCGGGUUCAGGGACAGUGCCUGAUGGGUAGUUUAACUGGGGCGGUUGCCUCCCAAAGAGUAACGGAGGCGCCCAAAGGUUCCCUCAACCUGGUUGGCAAUCAGGUGGCGAGUGUAAGUGCACAAGGGAGCUUGACUGUGAGACUGACAAGUCGAGCAGGGACGAAAGUCGGGACUAGUGAUCCGGCAGUGGCUUGUGGAAGCGCUGUCGCUCAACGGAUAAAAGGUACCUCGGGGAUAACAGGCUGAUCUUGCCCAAGAGUCCAUAUCGACGGCAUGGUUUGGCACCUCGAUGUCGGCUCGUCGCAUCCUGGGGCUGGAGUAGGUCCCAAGGGUUGGGCUGUUCGCCCAUUAAAGCGGUACGCGAGCUGGGUUUAGAACGUCGUGAGACAGUUCGGUCCCUAUCCGCUGCGCGCGCAGGAAAUUUGAGAAGAUCUAUCCCUAGUACGAGAGGACCGGGAUGGACGAACCUCUGGUGUGUCAGUUGUUCCGCCAGGAGCACCGCUGAUUAGCUACGUUCGGAACGGAUAACCGCUGAAAGCAUCUAAGCGGGAAGCCGGCUUCGAGAUGAGAUUUCCAUCCCUUCGGGGGAGAGGCUCCCAGCCAGACGACUGGGUUGAUAGGCCGGAUGUGGAAGACAGGACUAAAGACUGUCGGAGCUGACCGGUACUAAUAAGCCGAUAACUUGAUAA